GUAUUUUAAAGAUCUCAUCAUUCUUGUGGGAGAGACACAACACGGGCGCUAGGAAAGGCAACAGAUUGCUUCUGUCAUAUCGCUUUGCUGUUUUGGAGUGUACUUAAAGGAUUAUGAUUGAUAAGGCUGUCUUGCCAGAGAAUGUUGACACAGAAUCUACAGUUCAUAAUGGAGCUACUGUACUGGCUAUCGGAAGGAGGAGAUUCGGAAGAUAGGGAGAUUCAGCUAUCGGGCUUUGAAACUUCCUGUGGUCUGUUCAAUCUAGAUGCAGAGGACCUGGAACAGUCAAGUGCUCAAGAGGUUUAAAUUGUUUUGGAUAUUCCUAUUUAUAGACAAAAAUAUUUUUCCAAUUCAGAUCCUCAGUUGUUAUGCGGAAGAAAGUCAUACUCUUCUUCACCAUCCGUUUUAUUUGAAAUGAUUAGUAUUGUCGAGUAUCACCAAACAUUUUCUGUUUGAAUCAAAGUAUAGAAAAAAAUAAAAUCAAUUCUAUAUGUU